UUUCUCCACCUCACUUUUCUCUCUCUGGACAUUGCCAUUAUCGCUAAAAAAAAAAAUCCCUGAAAAAUCACAAUCUCCCCUUUCUAUUCUCUCUGGCAUUAUCUCUCUCUCCUUCUUCGAUCUCCCCCUCCCUUCCUCUUUCAAUUUGACCAAAUCAGAUGUGUUCUUCAAUCUAUCAUAUGAAAUCGAUAAUGAACAAUCAUAUGAAUCAACAAUCAUAUGGGGAAGAAACAAAAUAGGAGACAAGGCUGAAGAACUUCUUCACCCAUGGCGACGAUCUUCUUCACGAACCUUUUAGACGUCGGAUCAAACCCCUUAAGCAACAGAUUCUGUCAUUCUGAGGCACUCCAAGCUCUCUCAGAAUAGAGACAUUCCGUGUUCUGUUCUCUACUUCACAUUGUCAUGAUGGUGGAGAUUUGGGAGUCUGUGAACCCAUAGCUUCUCAGGAGUUUCAGGACCGAGUCUGGGUUUCGUUUCUCGUCGAAGCUGGCUUUUGAUGAGAUCGAUUCAGCCAGUUUUGGAGUUAGACCCAAGGAAGAUCCGGUAAGGAAGGUGUUGAUGCUCCAGAGAGAAGUAGAGCAGCUUGGCAGAUUAUACAAGAUUAUUUAAUGCUGUUUGUGGAACGGGAGAGAUACCAGAUUCCAAGCACGUGCAGGCUCCAUCCUGAUAACAAUCUGUACAGGGAUCAAGAACAGCAUAAGGUCCACGUGGAUGUAUACGAGUGGAAGUGCGGUUACUGCAGGAAGAGUUUCAACGAGGAGAAGUUUCUUGACCAGCACUUCGCCACUAGACAUCAUAAUCUGCUGCAAAUAUGGUAGUUCGCUUGAGUGCUUUUGAGCUGAGAACUUUUGCUUGAUUGGGUUUCAGACUGGAACAAAAAUUUGGUUUAUGCUGAGCCGAACCGGUCUGGUGGAGGUCGUACCUAAGAGCCACAACAAGUUCUUGGCCAAUAUGGUUGGUGUUCACGAAGAGGUAGUGUUGUUACUUCUCUUUAUCCACUUGAUUCGCCAUUGAAAUCGACGGAGGAGAAAGAGGUGGAACACAUAGAUAGGGAGAUAACGGAUUUGGAUCAAUGGAUAUCCAAGGUUAAAGACGGUCAGCAUCUCUCAGAGGACGAGCUUCAGCUUCUUUGCGAAUACGAGAUUGCUUACGACCAAAGCUUCAGAGCUGCUCUUCAAGCUGGUAUCGACAAGCUUGCUGCUGCUGUUGGUCUCACUCUUGGCCCUAGAGGGAGGAAUGUUGUGUUGGAUGAGUUUGGAAGUCCCAAAGUUGUGAAUGAUGGAGUCAUUCAAGUUAGGAAAGAUUUGGUCCCAAGGUUGUGAAUAAAGGAGUCAUUCAAAUCUAUUGUGAAUGAUGGAGUCAUUCAACCUAAUGACCUAAAUCAAUUUAAAAACUAAUCAAACCAAGAAAAAAGUAGGAGACAAAUAUCAUCAAAAAAAACAAAAUGAGGAAUGAGCUAAGUGAUUGGGUGUAGGGGAAGAGAGAAGACAAAAAUUGGAACACUGGAAUAAAUCAAAUAGGCUAAGAGAACAAUGGUUACUGAAUCAACAUAUUUUUUACAAGGGGUGAUGAUUACGAACAAUGUGGAGGCUAGCAUAACAAAAAAAUAAGAAGAGGUCAGCAUCAAAACCAACAUAUUUGAAAUAUAUGUGCCUUAUCUGUAACAUAGUUCCUUAGUUCUCAUGAGUUUGAAAAUGCAUAGAUUUGUAAACUACCAAAAUCAUUAUGAGGAUGGCCAUAUCGGAAUGUUUACGAAGGCAGCAAUACCCAAGAAUGGUCGUUGAGAAAGAGAAUGGUGGACGAUGGUAGUGACAGAUUUCAAAACGAACGAUCUCUUUAAAUGGUGUGAGUUGUGUGGUUUCAUGAAAAAUGAGUGUGUAUUGUAUCCAUCCAAAAUUAUAGAAUGCGAUAUGAUAAUGGUGCGACUGCACAUUUAAAGUUAUGAAACAAGCAGAGAAACAAGGUCAAUCAUUAAGGAUAUCAUUUACAAAGGAACCAAACAAUCUCGAAUACAAAAAUACUGGAAUUUUCAUUCCAUUUAUUAACAAAAAUGCAUAUUUGAAUUCUUAAAAACUAACCAAACAAAAUAGAAUAGUUAAAUAAAUCAGCCAUGUCAAAAACUGUUGAGC